rnacentral:rRNA from 1 species
AAUGAACGUUGGCGGCAUGGAUUAGGCAUGCAAGUCGAGCGAGAAGGGUUUUUUGCUUGCAUUAAACCUGGACAGCGGCGCAAGGGUGAGUAACGCGUAGUUAUCUGCCCCAGGGUUGGGAAUAGCCACGGGAAACUGUGGGUAAUGCCCAAUAAUAUCUCCGGAUCAAAGGUGUGAUUCCGCCCUGGGAGGAGACUGCGUCCUACUAGCUUGUUGGUGGGGUAAUGGCCUACCAAGGCUCCGAUGGGUAGCGGGCGUGAGAGCGUGGCCCGUCACACUGGGACUGAGACACUGCCCAGACACCUACGGGUGGCUGCAGUCGAGAAUCUUCGGCAAUGGGCGAAAGCCUGACCGAGCAAUGCCGCGUGCGGGAUGAAGGCCCUCGGGUUGUAAACCGCGAAAGUGAGGAGGAAGGGCCCGUGAAGAGCGGGUCUUGACCGAUCCACAGUAAGGACGGGCUAAGUUCGUGCCAGCCGCCGCAGUAAAAC